rnacentral:rRNA from 1 species
GAUGAACGCUGGCGGCGUGCCUAAUACAUGCAAGUCGAGCGAACAGACGAGGCGCUUGCUCCUCUGACGUUAGCGGAGGACGGGUGAGUAACACGUGGAAAACCUACCUAUAAGACUGGGAUAACUUCGGGAAACGGGAGCUAAUACCGGAUAAUAUAUUGAACCGCAUGGGUCAAUAGUGAAAGACGGUGUUGCGGUAACUUAUAGAUGGAUCCACGCCGCAUUAGGUAGUUGGGAAGGUAACGGGUUAUCAAGGCAAGGAGGCGUAGCCGACGUGACAGGGUGAUCGGCCGCACUAGAGCGGACACGGGGUCCAGGCUACUGCGGGAGGGAGCAGUAGGGAAUCUUCCGCAAUGGUCGAGAGCAUUGCGGAGCAGCGCCGCGUCAGUGAUGAAGGUCUUCGGAUCGUAAAACUCUGUUAUUGGGGAAGAACAAAUGUGUAAGUAACUAAGCACUGCUUGACGGUACCUAGUCAGAAAGCCACGGCUAACUACGUG